rnacentral:rRNA from 1 species
UACAGAGGGGGCAAACGUUAUUCGGAAUUAUUGGGCGUAAAGGGCGCGUAGGCGGCUUGGCAAGUGGAUGGUGAAAUCCCUCGGCUUAACCGAGGAACUGCCGUCCAAACUGCUUCGCUUGAGACCGGGAGAGGUGAGUGGAAUUCCCAGUGUAGCGGUGAAAUGCGUAGAUAUUGGGAGGAACACCAGUGGCGAAGGCGGCUCACUGGACCGGUACUGACGCUGAUGCGCGAAAGCGUGGGGAGCAAACGGG